CGGGUGCACUGAUCCAGCCGGGCCUUUCCCUCUGUGGAACCCCAUGGCCUUCACUGGCUGUGGCGGGGAAACAGGACUUUUACUUUGAAAAAAUUAGAGUGCUCCAGGCAGGCCUAUGCUCGAAUACAUUAGCAUGGAAUAAUAGAAUAGGACGUGUGGUUCUAUUUUGUUGGUUUCUAGGACCGCCGUAAUGAUUAAUAGGGACAGUCGGGGGCAUCAGUAUUCAAUUGUCAGAGGUGAAAUUCUUGGAUCUAUUGAAGACUAACUACUGCGAAAGCAUUUGCCAAGGAUGUUUUCAUUGAUAAGGAACGAAAGUUAGGGGAUCGAAGACGAUCAGAUACCGUCGUAGUCUUAACUAUAAACUAUGCCGACUAGGGAUCGGACGAUGUUAUUCUUUGACGCGUUCGGCACCUUUCGAGAAAUCAAAGUGCUUGGGCUCCAGGGGGAGUAUGGUCGCAAGGCUGAAACUUAAAGAAAUUGACGGAAGGGCACCACCAGGGGUGGAACCUGCGGCUUAAUUUGACUCAACACGGGGAAACUCACCAGGUCCAGACGCAGUGAGGAUUGACAGAUUGAGAGCUCUUUCUUGAUUCUGUGGGUGGUGGUGCAUGGCCGUUCUUAGUUGGUGGAGUGAUUUGUCUGCUUAAUUGCGAUAACGAACGAGACCUUAACCUGCUAAAUAGCCCGUACUGCUUUGGCAGUUCGCCGGCUUCUUAGAGGGACUAUCGG
rnacentral:rRNA from 1 species